rnacentral:rRNA from 1 species
CGCAACCCCUGCUUUCAGUUACUAACGGGUCAAGCCGAGAACUCUGGAGAGACUGCCCAGGAGAACGGGGAGGAAGGUGGGGAUGACGUCAAGUCAGCAUGGCCUUUAUGCCUGGGGCUACACACGUGCUACAAUGGCCGGUACAAAGGGCUGCAAACCCGUAAGGGGAAGCGAAUCUCAAAAAACCGGCCUCAGUUCAGAUCGAGGUCUGCAACUCGACCUCGUGAAGGCGGAAUCGCUAGUAAUCCCGGAUCAGCACGCCGGGGUGAAUACGUUCCCGGGCCUUGUACACACCGCCCGUCACACCACGAAAGUUUGUUGUACCUGAAGUCGUUGGCGCCAACCGCAAGGAGGCAGACGCCCACGGUAUGACCGAUGAUUGGGGUGAAGUCGUAACAAGGUAAAG